GAUGAACGCUGGCGGCGUGCCUAAUACAUGCAAGUCGAGCGAACGGACGAGAAGCUUGCUUCUCUGAUGUUAGCGGCGGACGGGUGAGUAACACGUGGAUAACCUACCUAUAAGACUGGGAUAACUUCGGGAAACCGGAGCUAAUACCGGAUAAUAUUUUGAACCGCAGGGUUCAAAAGUGAAAGACGGUCUUGCUGUCACUUAUAGAUGGAUCCGCGCUGCAUUAGCUAGUUGGUAAGGUAACGGCUUACCAAGGCAACGAUGCAUAGCCGACCUGAGAGGGUGAUCGGCCACACUGGAACUGAGACACGGUCCAGACUCCUACGGGAGGCAGCAGUAGGGAAUCUUCCGCAAUGGGCGAAAGCCUGACGGAGCAACGCCGCGUGAGUGAUGAAGGUCUUCGGAUCGUAAAACUCUGUUAUUAGGGAAGAACAUAUGUGUAAGUAACUGUGCACAUCUUGACGGUACCUAAUCAGAAAGCCACGGCUAACUACGUG
rnacentral:rRNA from 1 species